UCAAGCUACAAAGGGCGCAUGGUGGAUGCCUUGGCACCAGGAGCCGAAGAAGGACGUGGUAAGCUGCGAAAAGCUGCGGGUAGCCGCAAACAGGCUGUGAUCCGCAGAUGUCCGAAUGGGGGAACCCACCUAUUGAACAAUAGGUAUCCUUAACUGAAUCCAUAGGUUAAGGAGGGCACACCCGGGGAACUGAAACAUCUAAGUACCCGGAGGAAAAGAAAGAAUAAUCGAUUCCCUAAGUAGCGGCGAGCGAAAGGGGAAGAGCCCAAACCAGAGGAAACUCUGGGGUUGAGGACAGGUCAUAAAGGUUUAAAAUCUCUAGCCGAAGAGGCCUGGAAAGGCCGGCCACAGAAGGUAAAAGCCCUGUAGGCGAAAGAGAAUUUAAGCUGGACCUGAUCCAGAGUACCACGGGACACGUGAAACCCUGUGGGAAGCAGGGAGGACCACCUCCCAAGGCUAAAUACUACCUGGUGACCGAUAGCGUAUAGUACCGUGAGGGAAAGGUGAAAAGAACCCCGGGAGGGGAGUGAAAGAGAACCUGAAACCGUGUGCCUACAAGCAGUCGGAGGGCGUUAAGGCCUGACGGCGUGCUUUUUGUAGAACGAGCCAGCGAGUUACGGUAUGUAGCGAGGUUAAGCACUUAAGGUGUGAAGCCGUAGGGAAACCGAGUCUGAAUAGGGCGAUAAGUUGCAUGCCGUAGACCCGAAACCGGGUGACCUAUCCAUGGACAGGGUGAAGGUGAGGUAAAACUCACUGGAGGCCCGAACCACGUUGGUGUUGAAAAACCAUGGGAUGAGCUGUGGAUAGCGGAGAAAUUCCAAUCGAACUCGGAGAUAGCUGGUUCUCCCCGAAAUAGCUUUAGGGCUAGCCUCGGGUUAGAGACGUGGAGGUAGAGCACUGAAUGGGCUAGGGGCCGUCUAGGUUACCGAACCUUAUCAAACUCCGAAUGCCAUGAUCUUGAUGCCCGGGAGUCAGACUACGAGUGAUAAGAUCCGUGGUCAAAAGGGAAACAGCCCAGACCAUCAGCUAAGGUCCCAAAGUGUAUGUUAAGUGGAAAAGGAUGUGGGAUUUCCAAGACAACCAGGAUGUUGGCUUAGAAGCAGCCAUUCAUUUAAAGAGUGCGUAAUAGCUCACUGGUCGAGAGGUCCUGCGCCGAAGAUGUCCGGGGCUCAAACAUACCACCGAAGCUAUGGAUUCGGUAGCGUUACUAAUGCUUAUAUGGAAGAUAGGAAAAGAUAAGAGAGGACAUCUCAUGCUGCUACGCAGCGAAGCGAAGGAGCAGCAUCAGAUGCUUUAAAGCGAAAGCAUACCAUGUAGGCGAUAGUAACGCUACCGAGUGGUAGGGGAGCUUUCUUAGCGGGUAGAAGUCAGACCGGAAGGACUGGUGGACUGCUAAGAAGUGAGAAUGCUGGCAUAAGUAGCGAGAAAUAGGUGAGAAUCCUAUUCGCCGAAAACCUAAGGUUUCCUCAGGAAGGCUCGUCCGCUGAGGGUUAGUCGGGACCUAAGCCGAGGCCGAAAGGCGUAGGUGAUGGACAAUCGGUUGAUAUUCCGAUACCACCAGUAGCCGUUUGAGAGAUGGGGUGACGCAGGAGGAUAGGCUGAGCACACUGAUGGAUAUGUGUGUCCAAAGCACGAGGUAUGCCUCUUAGGCAAAUCCGGGAGGAUAAGCUGAGUGCUGACGGGGAGUCGUAAGACGAAGCAGCUGAUUUCACACUGCCGAGAAAAGCCUCUAUCGAGGAUGCUGGUGCCCGUACCGCAAACCGACACAGGUAGGUGAGGAGAGAAUCCUAAGGCGAGCGGGAGAACCCUUGUUAAGGAACUCGGCAAAUUGACCCCGUAACUUCGGGAGAAGGGGUGCCUACCGAAAGGUAGGCCGCAGAGAAUAGGCCCAGGCGACUGUUUAGCAAAAACACAGGUCUCUGCUAAGUCGAAAGACGAUGUAUAGGGGCUGACGCCUGCCCGGUGCUGGAAGGUUAAGGGGAAAGGUUAGCGCAAGCGAAGCUUUGAACCGAAGCCCCAGUAAACGGCGGCCGUAACUAUAACGGUCCUAAGGUAGCGAAAUUCCUUGUCGGGUAAGUUCCGACCCGCACGAAUGGCGUAACGACCUGGGCGCUGUCUCAACAAGGGACCCGGCGAAAUUGUAGUACAAGUGAAGAUGCUUGUUACCCGCGAUUGGACGGAAAGACCCCGUAGAGCUUUACUGCAGCUUAGCAUUGAGUUUCGGUAUUGUCUGUACAGGAUAGGUGGGAGGCAGAGAAGUAGCGUCGCCAGGCGCUAUGGAGCCGACGUUGGGAUACCACCCUGAUGAUACUGAAGCUCUAACCGGAGGCCAUGAAUCUGGUCACGGGACAUUGUUAGGCGGGCAGUUUGACUGGGGCGGUCGCCUCCUAAAGAGUAACGGAGGCGCCCAAAGGUUCCCUCAGUGCGGUUGGAAAUCGCGCGUAGAGUGCAAAGGCAGAAGGGAGCCUAACUGUGAGACUGACAAGUCGAGCAGUGACGAAAGUCGGGCUUAGUGAUCCGGUGGUACCGAGUGGAAGGGCCAUCGCUCAACGGAUAAAAGCUACCUCGGGGAUAACAGGCUGAUCUCCCCCAAGAGUCCACAUCGACGGGGAGGUUUGGCACCUCGAUGUCGGCUCGUCGCAUCCUGGGGCUGAAGUAGGUCCCAAGGGUUGGGCUGUUCGCCCAUUAAAGCGGCACGCGAGCUGGGUUCAGAACGUCGUGAGACAGUUCGGUCCCUAUCCGUCGCGGGCGUAGGAAAUUUGAGAGGAGCUGUCCUUAGUACGAGAGGACCGGGAUGGACGAACCUCUGGUGCACCAGUUGUCACGCCAGUGGCACAGCUGGGUAGCCAUGUUCGGAAGGGAUAAGCGCUGAAGGCAUCUAAGCGCGAAGCCCACCUCAAGAUGAGAUUUCCCAUAGCGUAAGCUAGUAAGACCCCUGGAAGAACACCAGGUUGAUAGGCCAGAGGUGUAAGCGUCGUGAGGCGUUUAGCUGACUGGUACUAAUAGGUCGAGGGCUUGAUCA
rnacentral:rRNA from 1 species